CUGGCGUGGCGUUGCUGUUAGGCGGUGGCCUGCGAUGUGGACGGCCCGGGUUCUGUUCCCGCUAGUGGCUUUUUAAUUUUUUUUUUUUUUUUUGUAUUGGAUAAGUUUUGGCGAGACUGUAUUAAUUCUUGUUGUAAGUUACUACGUUCAUACUAUUUUAUAAUUUUGUUAAUAAAGUUUGUUUUCUUAAAGUUCAUGGAGCAGUAUUUUGAUAAUGUUUAUCGUUGGUUACGUAAUACUAAAUUGGAUAUUAAUAUCGAAGUUAGCAUCAGUCAACGAAGAGGCGCAAAUUCGCGGGGCCGAACCUAUCGUGAGGAUUCAAGAGAGGGAGCGAAUACCUCGCAAAUUUAUAAAAUUUUCCCAUUCUUUCAAAUCUUCACGAAAGCUUAUUUUUGCAUAUACAAAAGGUACAGUUGAUUGACUCACUGAUUUAAAUGAAAUUUUGCAGGAUAUAACAGUUCAUGUAUUGAUUCAUAUGACAAAAUCUUAGGCAUAGACACAGCCAAUUUUUUAAGAUAUUUUUAAAGUUUGUGAUUUUUAAGAUUUCCUUUAAAAUUUUUUUACAGAAUUAAAAUUUGA
rnacentral:lncRNA from 1 species